UACGUAGGGUGCGAGCGUUAAUCGGAAUUACUGGGCGUAAAGCGUGCGCAGGCGGUUUCGUAAGACAGAUGUGAAAUCCCCGGGCUUAACCUGGGAACUGCGUUUGUGACUGCGAGACUUGAGUGCGGCAGAGGGGGGUGGAAUUCCACGUGUAGCAGUGAAAUGCGUAGAGAUGUGGAGGAACACCGAUGGCGAAGGCAGCCCCCUGGGUCGACACUGACGCUCAUGCACGAAAGCGUGGGGAGCAAAC
rnacentral:rRNA from 1 species